CAGGGUUUGGAUCAUGGCUCAGAUUGAACGCUGGCGGAAUGCUUUACACAUGCAAGUCGAACGGCAGCAUAGAGAGCUUGCUCUCUGAUGGCGAGUGGCGAACGGGUGAGUAAUAUAUCGGAACGUACCUAGUAAUGGGGAACAACUAGCCGAAAGGUUAGCUAAUACCGCAUACGACCUACGGGUGAAAGCAGGGGAUCUUCGGACCUUGCGUUAUUAGAGCGGCCGAUAUCUGAUUAGGUAGUUGGUGGGGUAAAAGCCUACCAAGCCAACGAUCAGUAGCUGGUCUGAGAGGACGAUCAGCCACACUGGAACUGAGACACGGUCCAGACUCCUACGGGAGGCAGCAGUGGGGAAUUUUGGACAAUGGGGGCAACCCUGAUCCAGCCAUUCCGCGUGAGUGAAGAAGGCCUUCGGGUUGUAAAGCUCUUUCACAAGAGAAGAAAUCUUACUAUCAAAUAAAUAGUAAGGAUGACGGUAUCUUGAGAAGAAGCACCGGCUAACUACGUGCCAGCAGCCGCGGUAAUACGUAGGGUGCGAGCGUUAAUCGGAAUUACUGGGCGUAAAGCGUGCGCAGGCGGUUUUAUAAGUCAGAUGUGAAAUCCCCGAGCUCAACUUGGGAACUGCGUUUGAAACUGUAAGACUAGAGUGUGUCAGAGGGGGGUAGAAUUCCAUGUGUAGCAGUGAAAUGCGUAAAUAUAUGGAGGAAUACCAAUGGCGAAGGCAGCCCCCUGGGAUAACCCUGACGCUCAUGCACGA
rnacentral:rRNA from 1 species